rnacentral:misc_RNA from 1 species
UACGGAGGGUGCGAGCGUUAAUCGGAAUUACUGGGCGUAAAGCGCGCGUAGGCGGCGUGAUAAGCCGGUUGUGAAAGCCCCGGGCUCAACCUGGGAACGGCAUCCGGAACUGUCAAGCUAGAGUGCAGGAGAGGAAGGUAGAAUUCCCGGUGUAGCGGUGAAAUGCGUAGAGAUCGGGAGGAAUCCCAGUGGCGAAGGCGGCCUUCAGGACUGAUACUGACACUGAGGUGCGAAAGCGAGGGUAGCAAACCGG